rnacentral:misc_RNA from 1 species
AAUUCUCAAAGUACCCUUCAUUUCUUGUGGAGGGAGCUUCGGACUUUGGCGGUUGCUGGCUCUUUUUGAGUUGGCUCCCCUUCAAAUACAUUAGCUUUUGGAAACGACGAGUUUCCUUGAAGGGCUGUCGGUGUGAUAGUAUCCACUGUCGCUGAAGGCCUUUCGAGGGGCGAGUUGGACCUGGGCUUCUAACAAACCACUUCAUUGCU